rnacentral:rRNA from 1 species
UACGAAGGGGGCUAGCGUUGCUCGGAAUCACUGGGCGUAAAGGGUGCGUAGGCGGGUCUUUAAGUCAGGGGUGAAAUCCUGGAGCUCAACUCCAGAACUGCCUUUGAUACUGAAGAUCUUGAGUUCGGGAGAGGUGAGUGAAACUGCGAGUGUAGAGGUGAAAUUCGUAGAUAUUCGCAAGAACACCAGUGGCGAAGGCGGCUCACUGGCCCGGUACUGACGCUGAGGCACGAAAGCGUGGGGAGCAAACAGG